AGCUUUGCGCAGUGCAGUGUCGUAGCCAAUGAGGUUUAUCUGAGGCACGAUUAUGGCUAAUUGAAAACUUUUCCCAGAAUCAUGUGGAGAACCUCUUUAAAAUCCACGACCCAUAAUCCCGAGUCUCACCCCGUCCUUUCAAGCAGUCUCUGGGAGA
rnacentral:snRNA from 1 species